rnacentral:lncRNA from 1 species
CUGACAUCCUAGCAGCCAGGAGAAAAAUGUCCUGGGAGAGACAGGAAAAGGAAACGCCAAGACAUAGAAAACCACGCUUUUCCCGUAGGAAGAACCGAUGAUGAGCCCUGAUGAAAGAAGGAAGAAGACCCGCUGUCUGCGAAGGCCUAAAGGCCGCGGUUGCCAGGAACCGUGGAGGGCCAACUCCUCCCAACCGCCCUGGUGCAAAGUCCCACGCGGCGAAGAGUUUUGGAGCAGCGCUUACCUAGAAAGAUGUUUAAAUUCUGAACCAGGAAUUGUCUCCAACUCCAGGCGCUCAGGGAAUCGCCUUUUCCGGUGUCCAGGCGCUCUGCAGACAAAUAAACAGCAGAAGGUGAAUGGCGGCUGCGAGGGAAGGGAGUUGGAGGCCGGGAGUGGGAAGCGAGGCUCAUGCGGGCGCCAAGGUGGCCCUGGGGGUGACGCGAACAUCAGGGAGUCACCAGGGCACUCGUCCGUGUGGCGCACUCAUUGCUCGAAAUGUUCCAGUCUACAAAUGGUCCGAAGAUGGUGAUUUAUUUUUGUAAAAUAAAUACAUACUCCAUCUCCACA